rnacentral:rRNA from 1 species
UACAGGGGGGGCAAGCGUUAUUCAAAUUUACUGGGCGUAAAGGGUGCGUAGGCUAUAAAUUAGAUUAUAUAUGAAAUGCCAAAACUUAAUUUUGGAACAGUAUAUAAAAUCGAUUUAUUUGAGUUAGAUAGGGGUUGGUAGAAUUCUUACAGUAAAGGUAAUAUUUUUCGAUAAUAGGAGGAAUACCUGAAGCGAAGGCGACUAUCUGGAUCUAAACUGACGUUGAGGCACGAAAGCAUGGGGAGCAAACAGG